CAUGUGUGCGAGUCAACGGG
rnacentral:snRNA from 1 species